GCAAGUCGAACGAGAGAAUUGCUAGCUUGCUAAUAAUUCUCUAGUGGCGCACGGGUGAGUAACACGUGAGUAACCUGCCCCCAAGAGUGGGAUAGCCCCGGGAAACUGGGAUUAAUACCGCAUAAAAUCGCAAGAUUAAAGCAGCAAUGCGCUUGGGGAUGGGCUCGCGUCCUAUUAGUUAGUUGGUGAGGUAACGGCUCACCAAGGCGAUGACGGGUAGCCGGUCUGAGAGGAUGUCCGGCCACACUGGAACUGAGACACGGUCCAGACACCUACGGGUGGCAGCAGUCGAGAAUCAUUCACAAUGGGGGAAACCCUGAUGGUGCGACGCCGCGUGGGGGAAUGAAGGUCUUCGGAUUGUAAACCCCUGUCAUGUGGGAGCAAAUUAAAAAGAUAGUACCACAAGAGGAAGAGACGGCUAACUCUGUGCCAGCAGCCGCGGUAAUACAGAGGUCUCAAGCGUUGUUCGGAAUCACUGGGCGUAAAGCGUGCGUAGGCGGUUUCGUAAGUCGUGUGUGAAAGGCGGGGGCUCAACCCCCGGACUGCACAUGAUACUGCGAGACUAGAGUAAUGGAGGGGGAACCGGAAUUCUCGGUGUAGCAGUGAAAUGCGUAGAUAUCGAGAGGAACACUCGUGGCGAAGGCGGGUUCCUGGACAUUAACUGACGCUGAGGCACGAAGGCCAGGGGAGCGAAAGGGAUUAGAUACCCCUGUAGUCCUGGCAGUAAACGGUGCACGCUUGGUGUGCGGGGAAUCGACCCCCUGCGUGCCGGAGCUAACGCGUUAAGCGUGCCGCCUGGGGAGUACGGUCGCAAGAUUAAAACUCAAAGAAAUUGACGGG
rnacentral:rRNA from 1 species